rnacentral:rRNA from 1 species
UACAGAGGGGGCAAGCGUUGUUCGGAAUUACUGGGCGUAAAGGGCGCGUAGGCGGCCUGUUAAGUCGAACGUGAAAUCCCCGGGCUCAACCCGGGAACUGCGUCCGAUACUGGCAGGCUUGAAUCCGGGAGAGGGAUGCGGAAUUCCAGGUGUAGCGGUGAAAUGCGUAGAUAUCUGGAGGAACACCGGUGGCGAAGGCGGCAUCCUGGACCGGCAUUGACGCUGAGACGCGAAAGCGUGGGGAGCAAACAGG